GCCGGCCCCGGCCCCUGCCCUUUGCCCCUCAGCUGCCGACUGGGCUUCCCUUUGCCCGGCGAGGCCGCGAGAGCGCCCAGCCAACAGGUGUUUGCCCACUCCAACCCCCAGCCAGCCAUGGGGCCAAGGAGAAGGAAACAACUGAGCACUGCAUCUGCCCAUGGCAGCCCCGUAAAGGGACCAAGGAUAAGGAAACAACUUACCAUCGUAUCUUCCCAACCUCCAACCCACUUC